UACGUAGGGUGCGAGCGUUGUCCGGAAUUAUUGGGCGUAAAGAGCUCGUAGGUGGUUUGUUACGUCCGCUGUGAAAUCCUAGGGCUUAACCCUGGGCUUGCAGUGGAUACGGGCAGGCUAGAGGUAGGUAGGGGAGAAUGGAAUUCCUGGUGUAGCGGUGAAAUGCGUAGAGAUCGGGAGGAACAUCUGUGGCGAAGGCGACUGCCUGGACCAGCACUGACACUGAGGCACGAAAGCGUGGGGAGCAAACAGG
rnacentral:rRNA from 1 species